rnacentral:rRNA from 1 species
CCUACGGGAGGCAGCAGUGGGGAAUAUUGCGCAAUGGGCGAAAGCCUGACGCAGCGACGCCGCGUGAGGGAUGAAGGUCUUCGGAUCGUAAACCUCUGUCAGCAGGGAAGAACGGUCACUGUGCUAAUCAGCAGUGAAUUGACGGUACCUGCAAAGGAAGCACCGGCUAACUCCGUGCCAGCAGCCGCGGUAAUACGGAGGGUGCGAGCGUUAAUCGGAAUUACUGGGCGUAAAGCGCUCGUAGGCGGUAUGUCAAGUCAAGGGUGAAAUCCCCGCGCUCAACGUGGGAACUGACUUUGAAACUGGCAAACUGGAGUGUGGGAGAGGAUAGUGGAAUUCAAGGUGUAGGAGUGAAAGCCGUAGAUAUCUGGAGGAACAUCAGUGGCGAAGGCGACUAUCUGGCACAUAACUGACGCUGAGGAGCGAAAGCGUGGGUAGCAAACAGGAUUAGAUACCCUUGUAGUC